CCUACGGGUGGCAGCAGUGGGGAAUAUUGGGCAAUGGGCGCAAGCCUGACCCAGCAACGCCGCGUGAAGGAAGAAGGCUUUCUGGUUGUAAACUUCUUUUCUCAGGGACGAAGCAAGUGCCGGUACCUGAGUUAUAAGACACGGCUAACUACGUGCCAGCCGCCGCGGUAAUACGGAGGUGGCAAGCGUUAUCCGGAUUUACUGGGUGUAAAGGGCGUGUAGGCGGGGACGCAAGUCAGAUGUGAAAACCACGGGGCCAACCUGUGGCCUGCAUUUGAAACUGUGUUUCUUGAGUACUGGAGAGGAAGACGGAAUUCGUGGUGUAGCGGUGAAAUGCGUAGAUAUUAGGAGGAACACCAGUGGCGAAGGCGGUCUGCUGGAGAGCAACUGACGCUGAGGCGCGAAAGCGUGGGGAGCGAACAGGAUUAGAUACCCGGGUAGUC
rnacentral:rRNA from 1 species